rnacentral:ncRNA from 1 species
GCGGUACCGGUUCACGCCCUGCUGGCGCGGGGCGACCCGGCGACC